AGCAGCCGCGGUAAUUCCAGCUCCAAUAGCGUAUAUUAAAGUUGUUGCAGUUAAAAAGCUCGUAGUUGAACUUCGGGGUUCACCCAUUGGUCAGGCUUAAUUGUCUGUACUGGUGAGAUGAAUCUCUACCUUCUGAGGAACUUUCAUGCCAUUUAUUUGGUGUGAUGGGAAAUCAGGACUGUUACUUUGAAAAAAUUAGAGUGUUUAAAGCAGGCUAACGUCUGAAUACAUUAGCAUGGAAUAAUGAAAUAGGACGGAUUGAUUCUAUUUCGUUGGUUUCUAGGGUCACCGUAAUGAUUAAUAGGGAUAGUUGGGGGCAUUAGUAUUCAAUUGUCAGAGGUGAAAUUCUUGGAUUUAUUGAAGACUAACUACUGCGAAAGCAUUUGCCAAGGAUGUUUUCAUUAAUCAAGAACGAAAGUUAGGGGAUCGAAGACGAUCAGAUACCGUCGU
rnacentral:rRNA from 1 species